UGGGGAAUCUUGCGCAAUGGCCUAACGGCUGACGCAGCGACGCCGCGUGUGGGAUGAAGCUCCUCGGAGUGUAAACCACUGUUGCCCGGGACGAAUAGCUCGAUUAAUCGAGCCCGACGGUACCGGGUGAGGAAGCACCGGCUAACUCCGUGCCAGCAGCCGCGGUAAUACGGGGGGUGCGAGCGUUGUCCGGAAUCACUGGGCGUAAAGGGCGCGUAGGUGGUUUGAUAAGGGUGUGGUGAAAGUCCGGAGCUCAACUCCGGAUCUGCCGUGCCGACUGUCAAACUCGAGGGCUGUAGAGGCAGACGGAAUUCCGGGUGUAGCGGUGGAAUGCGUAGAGAUCCGGAGGAAGACCGGUGGCGAAGGCGGUCUGCUGGGCAGUUUCUGACACUGAGGCGCGACAGCGUGGGGAGCAAAC
rnacentral:rRNA from 1 species